AUACCUUGACCGGAGCAUAACUGGUUAACUUCACACAAGAGACCUACUGUUGGACAAUCGUUUUGGCUUUAAAGGAGAAAGUCAUCGCUCUGUAAUUGGCCCUUGGACUCCCCUGGCAUCUCGUGUACAGCAUUAAGUUUUCAGCUAUGAAGAUUUCCAGAGACUCCAGAAUGAAAAACAAGCCGUGAUGGAGGAGAACCAAGCCCUUAGGGAGGAGAACCAAGCCCUUAGGGAGGAGAACCAGGCCCUUAGGGAGGAGAACCAAGCUCUGAGGGAGGAGAACCAAGCUCUGAGGGAAAGCACUGCACAAGCAGCUUCGGAUGACAGCGGCUCACUUCAAGAGCAGGUGAAGCAAGUUGGGACAAUGUUGAAGACGUUUGCUCGCACUGGGCAAUCAGGUGCAGAUCAGACCUUAAUGCUGCGACGUCUUGGAGAGUUUGGCGAUGUUGUGCGUAGCAUGGACAACAAAAUGGACACUAUGCUGCAACAUUUCAGUGCCAAUGUGUCUGUUGGAGAGUUAUCCCUGCCAGGGGAUCUGUUACUCCCCCUAGACACCCAGGAAGAUUUGGCGUUGCUUGACAACAGUUUGAGGCAGGAUAAAGAGCUCCAGGAACGAUUUCUUCGGUUUUUGGCAAUCAAAUGUGGGAGGGACCUAAAGACAACCGUCUGGCGGAUGCUUCAAAGUAUCUUCUCUAAUCACCUUUCCAUCAAUACAACCUGGACUGGAGUUGGGGAUAAAGCAUGUUUUAGAGACAUGUUCCUGAAGACCAUUGUUCAAAGUAAGUUGGAUGUAAAAAAAAAAUAUGUUUAG
rnacentral:lncRNA from 1 species